GAUGAACGCUGGCGGCGUGCCUAAUACAUGCAAGUCGAGCGAACAGACGAGGAGCUCGCUCCUCUGACGUUAGCGGCGGACGGGUGAGUAACACGUGGAUAACCUACCUAUAAGACUGGGAUAACUUCGGGAAACCGGAGCUAAUACCGGAUAAUAUAUUGAACCGCAUGGUUCAAUAGUGAAAGACGGUUUUGCUGUCACUUAUAGAUGGAUCCGCGCCGCAUUAGCUAGUUGGUAAGGUAACGGCUUACCAAGGCAACGAUGCGUAGCCGACCUGAGAGGGUGAUCGGCCACACUGGAACUGAGACACGGUCCAGACUCCUACGGGAGGCAGCAGUAGGGAAUCUUCCGCAAUGGGCGAAAGCCUGACGGAGCAACGCCGCGUGAGUGAUGAAGGUCUUCGGAUCGUAAAACUCUGUUAUUAGGGAAGAACAAAUGUGUAAGUAACUAUGCACGUCUUGACGGUACCUAAUCAGAAAGCCACGGCUAACUACGU
rnacentral:rRNA from 1 species